UUCUCCCCCAAAUCCAUCACUUGCAACCGUCAAGGGAGAAAUGUCGAGGCCAGGGAAGAAGGCGAGAGAGGAGGAUGGACUUUCCGACGGCGACGAGCCCCAGAAGAAGUCUCUGAAGUCUGAAAAUGAUGAUGAUGAGUCUGAUAACAUUUUCAUCUGUGAGCUUUCGAAGAAUCGCAAAGUGUCUGUAAGGAUUUGGAUGGGAAAGGUUGUGGUGGAUAUCAGGGAGUUUUAUAUUAAAGACGGCAAGGAAUUGCCUAGCAAGAAAGGUAUUUCAUUGAGCUUGGAUCAGUGGAAAACUCUGCGAGAACAUGCAGAUGAAAUUGACAAGGAGCUUGGUGAUGAUUAAGAAGGCGUAGACUGCUGAGAGAAGGAAAAGAACACAAGAAAACCAAGUGUGGUGUCGGGUUUUGCUUGUAGAGAAUUGAGUUUCAGUACUUACAGCUGAACAUAGAGAGACUUCCAGUUUCGAGUACAGACACUAAUUCGGGUAAAGGGAGCUCGAUUUACCACCAGGCACGGACAAUUUCCCAUGUGGUAAGGAGUCUGUGAACCUGAAAAUGCAACCUGUAAUCAGCAUCCAAUUCAAGGCUCAUCAUGUUACUUUACUCAGUCUUCAAGGUUGUUGGAUUGUUAAGUCUAUACUGAUAUAAUACCAAGCAGAAGUAACACAAAUACAAGGUUUCUAAAUCAGACGAUAUGUAUAAGCUCAAAACACACACAUACAGAUUAUGUCUCGACUGUGUCAUAAUAAAUGAGAACAAUUCUGCAUAUUACAAUAUCAAGUUAUUCCAUAUUAUGGUACAUUUGUGGCUCCCAGUUCUGCAUAUUGCCAGUCUAUAUAUAUUUAUUGAGCAGAAGGAUUUUGCCUCAUUGAUUUUGCUGGGGCAGAACAUGAGUCUCCUAAUUGUAAUUUAAGACAACAUAUAUGGACAUUGACAAAAAAAAAAAGUAACAAUAAUAAUAAUAACAAUACUCCUCGUGUGCACGACUAGCAGAUUUAUUGAUCUUCCCU